CCUACGGGAGGCAGCAGUGGGGGAUAUUGCACAAUGGGGGAAACCCUGAUGCAGCGACGCCGCGUGUGGGAAGACGGUCUUCUGGAUUGUAAACCACUGUCCCCAGGGACGAAAAUGACGGUACCUGGGGAGGAAGCUCCGGCUAACUACGUGCCAGCAGCCGCGGUAAUACGUAGGGAGCAAGCGUUGUCCGGAAUUACUGGGUGAAAAGGGAGCGUAGGCGGGGAUGCAAGUUGGGUGUCAAAACUACCGGCUCAACCGAUAGUCGCACUCAAAACUGCAACUCUUGAGUGAAGUAGAGGCAGGCGGAAUUCCUGGUGUAGCGGUGAAAUGCGUAGAUAUUAGGAGGAACACCAGUGGCGAAGGCGGCCUGCUGGGCUUUUACUGACGCUGAGGCUCGAAAGUGUGGGGAGCAAACAGGAUUAGAUACCCUUGUAGUC
rnacentral:rRNA from 1 species